GGCUCUUUGAGGUAGAGGAUAAAGAGUCGGACCUGCCCACUGAAUAUUUUAACGGCCGCGGUACUCUGACCGUGCAAAGGUAGCAUAAUCAUUUGCCUUAUAAUUGAAGGCUUGUAUGAAUGGUUUGACAAGAAUGUAGCUGUCUCUGUGUAAUUUUAUAGAAUUUUAUUUUGAAGUGAAGAGGCUUGAAUAUCAUUAAAAGACAAGAAGACCCUAUCGAGCUUUAAAAAAUAUAAUAGAAGUAAUUAAAUUAUAUAAAAAGGUUGUCUAUUAUUAAUUUUGGUUGGGGCGACUUAGGAACAUAUAAAGCUUCCUAUAAUUAGAAGUAAAACGAUUGAUCCAAAAAAUUUUGAUUGAAGAAAUUAGUUACCGUAGGGAUAACAGCAUUAUCUUUUUUGAGAGUUCAUAUCGAAAGAAAGGUUUGUGACCUCGAUGUUGGACCAGAAUAUCCUAAAGGUGUAGUAGUCUUUAAGGGUUGGUCUGUUCGACCAUUAAAAUUCUACG
rnacentral:rRNA from 1 species